AAUCUCUCAACGCCAACCGCAACUAAGCACGCAUUCAUUAUAUUAGUUCGUCUCAUUACCCAAACAAACCGAAAGGCGCCUCCUCCUCCCUCCUCCUGCUCCUCCUCCCCCCCCCGCCCCGUUUCCUCCUCACGACUGAACCCCAGAAAGAAAACAAAAUGAUGCGCAACACCUGUCUUAACCUGGCGGGCGUCAGCGGCAUGGCCGUGUACGCCCCGCACUGCCGCGUGGAUCUGGAGCAGUGGUGCAAGUGGACGGGUAACAGCUGGGACAAGGUGUCGAGCGUCGUUGGGCAGUCUUUCCGCAUUACGAACUACAACGAGAACGCGUACACCAUGGCCGCUAACGCUGUCCUCCGCCUGAUUGUGAACAACAAUAUCGACCCCACCAAGAUCGGCUUCCUCGGCCUCGGCACGGAGAGCUCGUCCGACAACUCGGCGGGCGCCAUCAUUGUGAAGGGUAUGGUGGAUAAGGGUCUGCGCGCCAUGAACAUGCCGGCCAUGUCGCGCCACUGCGAGGUGCCUGAAUUCAAGCAUGCCUGCCUGGCCGGCGUGUACGCGAUGGAGAGCGCCACCCGCUUCGUCGACGCCGAUGGCAAGGACCGCAUGGCGAUCGCUGUGGCGUCCGACAUUGCCGAGUACGCGCUGGGCUCCACGGGCGAGCAGACGCAGGGCGCCGGUGCCACCGCCAUGGUGCUCGAACACGACCCGAAGCUGUUUGAAGUGCAGCUGCAGCACAGCGGCUCGGCUUCGGACUACCGUGGCCCUGACUUCCGUAAGCCGCACCGCCGCCAUUUCAUGAACCUGGAAGAGUACACGAAGAGCUCUGCCAACGGCAAGAUGGCGGACUUCCCGGUCUUCUCCGGCCCCUACAGCACUCUCGUGUACCAGGAGGAGGUGACAGUCGCGGUGGAGCACAUGCUGGAGCGCCUGCAGCAGUCUCCGGGCAAGUACUAUGACGACGUCACUGCCCUCUUCUUCCACCGCCCGUACAACAUGAUGCCCAUCCAGGCCAUGUCGUUCCUGUACGCCCGCGGCCUUGCCCGCGCCACCUCCGAGGAGCACAAGGCUUAUUUCGCAGAGCUAUGCAAGCAGGGCAAAGCCGACCCCGCAGUCGUGCUGAAGGAGCUCGACGUGAACCCGCACUACUUUCAGCAGAUCGAGAGCGGCGGAGAGCCGAAGGACGCGUUCCCGGCAACCGGUAAGGUUGCGAAGGUGCUGCGCAAGGACAAGAAGUUCAUCGACCUGCUGGAGAAGAAGAUGAGCAUGGGCAGCCCAGCAAUGGGCAACUUUGGAAACCUGUACACGGCCUCCCUGCCCUGCUGGCUGGCGGCCGGCUUCGAGGAGGCCUACACCCGCAAGCUUGACAUCACCGGCAAGCCUAUGGUGAUGGUGGGCUACGGCUCCGGCGAUGCGAGCAUGUCGAUCCCUAUCUUGCCCGUGCCUGGCUGGGAGAACGCUGCCGCCAACAUCAACGUCAGCAAGGCCCUCGAGAAUCCCGUGAACCUGGACAAGGCCCAGUACGAGGCUCUCCACACAGGCGCCGAGAAGAACGAUCUGGCGAAAGACAGACGCAAGAUGGAGUUUGUCAUUGACCGCCUUGGCAACCGCAACGAGGCCGCCUUCCAGGAUGUCGGUAUUGAGUACUACCGCUACAUUCAGUGAUCUAUCCAGAUGACGUCGCAUCUGGGUGAGAAAGGGAGAGAGGAAAGGUUGCAGUGACAGAGCUGCUGCGCGGUUACGCGGCAGCUGUGUCGAAGACAAUCCUGGCAAGAGCGACUACCUCAAGCGCAAGAGGAAAGACUUCACGAAGGGUGAAUAGACGGAUGGAAAACAGAUGGGCGAGGGGCACUCAAACCUCGACAUCGGUGCGCACGCGCCAUGUAAGAAGGAAAGGGCAACUCGGACCCCCUCGCAAGACCCAUCUACCCCAAGGCUCCUCGUGGACCUCUUAAGACGUGUGCGCCAGCCUGUCAUGACGCCCUUCUACCCCCUCCUAUUCUCUCGCGUACUCUCCUGAGUACAAGGGAGAGGGGAAGCGAGGACGUGAAAGGAAGAGGGAGAAAGAGGCGGCGCUAUUCCAAGAUCUUGUCGUGGGUGGCUCUUUGGUGAUCAAUGUCCCCUUCCUCUGCUGCUCCGUUGGCGUCGCUCGCCAGCGUGGCCUGACCCCUUGCUUGCCGGGCAAGUGGAGUACGUGUGUGUGUCCGUCCAUCUGCGACGUCCUUAAAGGUGGGGGGAGAUGCGAUCGAUGCAAGAGGGGGAAAACGAAGGACGGGCGCGUGUAGCAAGCGAUAGGAAUGUUUGAGAAGUGUGUGCAACUUAAAGGAAGGUCGAGGGAAUUGGCGGUGGAAGUCGUUCUGUGGACGCUUGCUGGAGCUUUAGUGCGAUGCAGCGGGAGGUGGCGGUGGAAGAACACAGCCCACGCUCAUCCAUCCCACCACAACGGCAAGCCGUCAUCAACCUCGCCGCCUCCCCCGUCAUUCCUCACCCUCGCAACGCUACCUCCUUCCAUCCCUCUCCAUCACCACCCUCUCUCUCUCACACCCAUCACCUACGUAUGCGCGAAUGAAGAAAACGUCUUCAUCUAUCGCUUGGGUGUGUGUGUGUGUGUGUACGUGCGCGCCCCUUCUUCGCGUUGUGUUUCCCUUUCGGUGCCUGAGCUGUUUCGCCUGCGUAUUGUGGCCUCGAUUUCCCUCCUUCUGCCUCUUCAGAAGUAUUUUCCUCCCCUCCCUCUCGUCUCCCUGUCUCUGAGCGUGUGUGUUUCCCGCUAAGUGAGUUCACCUUUUUCUUUUUUUUUCUGCGUUCGUGUGCACUUGUGCUUUACGCGUUACGCCUCUCCUUUACUGUGUGUGUGUGCGCGUAGGCGUGUGCGUGUGUACAGGGGAGGGUGCGGGUGUCUCGCUUACUCCCUCUCUCGUCGAGGAACGCCCCUUUGUUUCUCUUCUCACUGCCUCGCCUCCACCAGCAUCCUCCUCCACCUCCCCCUCCCCAUUUCUUCUCUGUUUCUUCUCAACGACGUUCCCCGAACGCACUGUCUCCCGGCCUCAUCAUACCAUAGUAUGCUGCUGUUUGGACCGCUCCAGUCUACUCUUCUCUGCGUCCCACAUUGUGUGUAGGCGUUUUCGCGUGUGUGCGUGUUUGACCCAUGGCGCCAUCCUCCUUGCACUAUAUGCUACGUCUCUUCCGCACUUGCUCUUCUCUCUAUUCUUCUCUGUUCGCGUUCAUCCGUGUUUUGCGCGGUCGUUGGUGCCCCACGCGUUGCUGUGAAAUGUGGUGCGCCGCAACACCUGGGGCCCAUACGCGCCUCUGUCACUGCAUGCCCCCUCCCCUCUCUUGAAGCACGCACGCUCAUCGAUGUAAAUGCGAAGCGCACGCACACAUACACACACACACACACAACACUCAAUCACCCACAACACCCACACACAGACAGACAGACGAGCCGCGUUUCUCCGGUCUGCUCUGUUCUGCGAAGAAAAGUAAACGAGCGUUGCCUCGCUUCUCAUGCUUUCCUUCGCUUUUCUCUUCAAGUGCUACAUGCCACCUCCCUCGCCCCCCUUACCACCACCACUUCCACACCCCCACGCAUCUACCCUUGCCGUCUGACCGUCUCCGCAACACCAAGAGCCGAAGAAAUGACAGGCGAAUGACGACGUUUUAUCUUUAAUUACUUGCCUAUCUUCGUAUCUUUCCUUCAUGUCUUGUGCGCACCCCCUCCUCCUCCUUUCUCUCCUUUCUAUGUCUCUCCAUCGCUGUCUGUCUUCCCACUCGACUCGGGCCCUCACUCGUCGACGGUGUCCUUCCUUUCCGUGAUGUUGAUGUUGAUGCUGAUGCGCCCUGUUCGUCUUUCCUGUCGUUACGUUGCGUGCGUUUUCCUUCCUGUGUUGUGCACCCCCACACCCGACUUCUUUUGUUUGGUUUAUGCGUUAGCCGCUCGUGGCGCCCACCAUCAUCUCCACCGUGCGUUCUUCUCCCUCUCUGUGAGUGCGCCCCUCCCUCCGACUACAUACAUGCAUACGUACAUAUGCUCAACUCGCCUGCUAUGUGAGAUGAGGUGUGGGUGUGGGUGCGGAGGGGGAGGGGAGGUGCCGCCGAUCGUCGUGUCCCCUCCCCCCUCUCUUCUCUGUAUGCACCUGAUCCAUCUGCGCGUGUGCAUAUGCCUCCAGGCAACCGGCAGGGAAGGCAAGGUCCACAGGGUGGGUGAUAAGAACUGCAGCAAAGACAUGUCCCCACUCCUCUCCCCUCUCCCACACACAAGCGGCUUAAUAGGUGCAAGGACCCCCGAGGGUGGGAGAAGCGAAGGAGAUGGAGGGGAAGGAGAGGUGGAGACGCGGGCGUCGUGCGACGAGGGCGCGGAUCGGUGAUAUACGAAAC
rnacentral:misc_RNA from 1 species